UCCGGCUUAUCACCGGCAGUUUCUUUAGAGUGCCCAACUGAAUGGUGGCAACUAAAGACGAGGGUUGCGCUCGUUGCGGGACUUAACCCAACAUCUCACGACACGAGCUGACGACAGCCAUGCAGCACCUUGCACUCUGUCUGGUUUUACCCAGAAGGCCCUAUCUCUAAGGUUGUCAGAGGCAUUCUAGCCCGGGUAAGGUCCUUCGCGUUGCAUCGAAUUGAACCACAUGCUCCACCGCUUGUGCGAGCCCCCGUCAAUUCCUUUGAGUUUUAACCUUGCGGCCGUACUCCCCAGGCGGGACACUUAACGCGUUAGCUACAGCAAAGAAGGGCAAGCCCUCCUUCACUCAGUGUCCAUCGUUUACGGCUAGGACUAC
rnacentral:misc_RNA from 1 species